rnacentral:tRNA from 1 species
GCGUCGGUAGCUCAUUGGAUAGAGCAUCGCCCUUCUAAGGCGAGUGUAGCAGGUUCAAUUCCUGCGCGGCGUGCCA